rnacentral:tRNA from 1 species
GAUAAGUGGCGGAAUUGGUAGACGCACCAGAUUUAGGUUCUGGCGCCGCAAGGUGUGAGAGUUCAAGUCUCUCCUUCCGCACCA